rnacentral:rRNA from 1 species
GGGUUGUGAGGUUAAGCGACUAAGCGUACACGGUGGAUGCCCUGGCAGUCAGAGGCGAUGAAGGGCGUGCUAAUCUGCGAUAAGCGCCGGUAAGGUGAUAUGAACCGUUAUAACCGGCGAUACCCGAAUGGGGAAACCCAGUGUGAUUCGUCACACUAUCAUUAACUGAAUCCAUAGGUUAAUGAGGCGAACCGGGGGAACUGAAACAUCUAAGUACCCCGAGGAAAAGAAAUCAACCGAGAUUCCCCCAGUAGCGGCGAGCGAACGGGGAGGAGCCCAGAGCCUGAAUCAGCAUGUGUGUUAGUGGAAGCGUCUGGAAAGGCGCGCGAUACAGGGUGACAGCCCCGUACACAAAAGCGCAUGUGCUGUGAGCUCGAUGAGUAGGGCGGGACACGUGGUAUCCUGUCUGAAUAUGGGGGGACCAUCCUCCAAGGCUAAAUACUCCUGACUGACCGAUAGUGAACCAGUACCGUGAGGGAAAGGCGAAAAGAACCCCGGCGAGGGGAGUGAAAAAGAACCUGAAACCGUGUACGUACAAGCAGUGGGAGCACAGGUUUACCUGUGUGACUGCGUACCUUUUGUAUAAUGGGUCAGCGACUUAUAUUCUGUAGCAAGGUUAACCGAAUAGGGGAGCCGGAGGGAAACCGAGUCUUAAUUGGGCGUUAAGUUGCAGGGUAUAGACCCGAAACCCGGUGAUCUAGCCAUGGGCAGGUUGAAGGUUGGGUAACACUAACUGGAGGACCGAACCGACUAAUGUUGAAAAAUUAGCGGAUGACCUGUGGCUGGGGGUGAAAGGCCAAUCAAACCGGGAGAUAGCUGGUUCUCCCCGAAAGCUAUUUAGGUAGCGCCUCGUGAAUUCAUCUCCGGGGGUAGAGCACUGUUUCGGCUAGGGGGCCAUCCCGGCUUACCAACCCGAUGCAAACUGCGAAUACCGGAGAAUGUUAUCACGGGAGACACACGGCGGGUGCUAACGUCCGUCGUGAAGAGGGAAACAACCCAGACCGCCAGCUAAGGUCCCAAAGUCAUGGUUAAGUGGGAAACGAUGUGGGAAGGCCCAGACAGCCAGGAUGUUGGCUUAGAAGCAGCCAUCAUUUAAAGAAAGCGUAAUAGCUCACUGGUCGAGUCGGCCUGCGCGGAAGAUGUAACGGGGCUAAACCAUGCACCGAAGCUGCGGCAGCGANNUGCUGGAGGUAUCAGAAGUGCGAAUGCUGACAUAAGUAACGAUAAAGCGGGUGAAAAGCCCGCUCGCCGGAAGACCAAGGGUUCCUGUCCAACGUUAAUCGGGGCAGGGUGAGUCGACCCCUAAGGCGAGGCCGAAAGGCGUAGUCGAUGGGAAACGGGUUAAUAUUCCCGUACUUGGUGUUACUGCGAAGGGGGGACGGAGAAGGCUAUGUUGGCCGGGCGACGGUUGUCCCGGUUUAAGCGUGUAGGUGUGUGUUCCAGGUAAAUCCGGUUCACUUUAACACUGAGGCGUGAUGACGAGGCACUACGGUGCUGAAGUAACAAAUGCCCUGCUUCCAGGAAAAGCCUCUAAGCAUCAGGUAACAUCAAAUCGUACCCCAAACCGACACAGGUGGUCAGGUAGAGAAUACCAAGGCGCUUGAGAGAACUCGGGUGAAGGAACUAGGCAAAAUGGUGCCGUAACUUCGGGAGAAGGCACGCUGACACGUAGGUGAAGUGAUUUACUCAUGGAGCUGAAGUCAGUCGAAGAUACCAGCUGGCUGCAACUGUUUAUUAAAAACACAGCACUGUGCAAACACGAAAGUGGACGUAUACGGUGUGACGCCUGCCCGGUGCCGGAAGGUUAAUUGAUGGGGUCAGCGCAAGCGAAGCUCCUGAUCGAAGCCCCGGUAAACGGCGGCCGUAACUAUAACGGUCCUAAGGUAGCGAAAUUCCUUGUCGGGUAAGUUCCGACCUGCACGAAUGGCGUAAUGAUGGCCAGGCUGUCUCCACCCGAGACUCAGUGAAAUUGAACUCGCUGUGAAGAUGCAGUGUACCCGCGGCAAGACGGAAAGACCCCGUGAACCUUUACUAUAGCUUGACACUGAACAUUGAGCCUUGAUGUGUAGGAUAGGUGGGAGGCUUUGAAGUGUGGACGCCAGUCUGCAUGGAGCCGACCUUGAAAUACCACCCUUUAAUGUUUGAUGUUCUAACGUGGACCCGUGAUCCGGGUUGCGGACAGUGUCUGGUGGGUAGUUUGACUGGGGCGGUCUCCUCCUAAAGAGUAACGGAGGAGCACGAAGGUUGGCUAAUCCUGGUCGGACAUCAGGAGGUUAGUGCAAUGGCAUAAGCCAGCUUGACUGCGAGCGUGACGGCGCGAGCAGGUGCGAAAGCAGGUCAUAGUGAUCCGGUGGUUCUGAAUGGAAGGGCCAUCGCUCAACGGAUAAAAGGUACUCCGGGGAUAACAGGCUGAUACCGCCCAAGAGUUCAUAUCGACGGCGGUGUUUGGCACCUCGAUGUCGGCUCAUCACAUCCUGGGGCUGAAGUAGGUCCCAAGGGUAUGGCUGUUCGCCAUUUAAAGUGGUACGCGAGCUGGGUUUAGAACGUCGUGAGACAGUUCGGUCCCUAUCUGCCGUGGGCGCUGGAGAACUGAGGGGGGCUGCUCCUAGUACGAGAGGACCGGAGUGGACGCAUCACUGGUGUUCGGGUUGUCAUGCCAAUGGCACUGCCCGGUAGCUAAAUGCGGAAGAGAUAAGUGCUGAAAGCAUCUAAGCACGAAACUUGCCCCGAGAUGAGUUCUCCCUGAGACUUAAAGUCUCCUGAAGGAACGUUGAAGACGACGACGUUGAUAGGCCGGGUGUGUAAGCGCAGCGAUGCGUUGAGCUAACCGGUACUAAUGAACCGUGAGGCUUAACCUUACAACGCCGAAG